rnacentral:rRNA from 1 species
AACGAACGCUGGCGGCAUGCCUAACACAUGCAAGUCGAACGAAACCUUCGGGUCUAGUGGCGCACGGGUGCGUAACGCGUGGGAACCUGCCCUUAGGUUCGGAAUAACUCCCCGAAAGGGGUGCUAAUACCGGAUAAUGUCUUCGGACCAAAGAUUUAUCGCCUUUGGAUGGGCACGCGUUGGAUUAGCUAGUUGGUAGGGUAAAAGACUACCAAGGCGACGAUCCAUAGCUGGUCUGAGAGGAUGAUCAGCCACACUGGGACUGAGACACGGCCCAGACUCUUACGGGAGGCAGCAGUGGGGAAUAUUGGACAAUGGGCGAAAGCCUGAUCCAGCAAUGCCGCGUGAGUGAUGAAGGCCUUAGGGUUGUAAAGCUCUUUUACCCGGGAUGAUAAUGACAGUACCGGGAGAAUAAGCCCCGGCUAACUCCGUG